rnacentral:rRNA from 2 species
GGGCCCGCACAAGCAGUGGAGUAUGUGGUUUAAUUCGACGCAACGCGAAGAACCUUACCAGGUCUUGACAUCCCGUGCAUAGCAUAGAGAUAUGUGAAACCCUUCGGGGCACGGAGACAGGUGGUGCAUGGUUGUCGUCAGCUCGUGUCGUGAGAUGUUGGGUUAAGUCCCGCAACGAGCGCAACCCUUAUCGUUAGUUACUACGCAAGAGGACUCUAGCGAGACUGCCGUUGACAAAACGGAGGAAGGUGGGGAUGACGUCAAAUCAGCAUGCCCUUUAUGACCUGGGCUACACACGUACUACAAUGGCCGUUAACAGAGGGAGGCGAAGCCGCGAGGUGGAGCAAAACCCAGAAAAACGGUCUCAGUUCGGAUUGGAGGCUGCAACCCGCCUCCAUGAAGCCGGAAUUGCUAGUAAUCGCGGAUCAGCAUGCCGCGGUGAAUACG